rnacentral:rRNA from 1 species
GAUGAACGCUGGCGGCGUGCCUAAUACAUGCAAGUCGAGCGAACGGACGAGAAGCUUGCUUCUCUGAUGUUAGCGGCGGACGGGUGAGUAACACGUGGGUAACCUACCUAUAAGACUGGGAUAACUUCGGGAAACCGGAGCUAAUACCGGAUAAUAUUUUGAACCGCAUGGUUCAAAAGUGAAAGACGGUCUUGCUGUCACUUAUAGAUGGAUCCGCGCUGCAUUAGCUAGUUGGUAAGGUAACGGCUUACCAAGGCAACGAUGCAUAGCCGACCUGAGAGGGUGAUCGGCCACACUGGAACUGAGACACGGUCCAGACUCCUAUGGGAGGCAGCAGUAGGGAAUCUUCCGCAAUGGGCGAAAGCCUGACGGAGCAACGCCGCGUGAGUGAUGAAGGUCUUCGGAUCGUAAAACUCUGUUAUUAGGGAAGAACAUAUGUGUAAGUAACUGUGCACAUCUUGACGGUACCUAAUCAGAAAGCCACGGCUAACUACGUGCCAGCAGCCGCGGUAAUACGUAGGUGGCAAGCGUUAUCCGGAAUUAUUGGGCGUAAAGCGCGCGUAGGCGGUUUUUUAAGUCUGAUGUGAAAGCCCACGGCUCAACCGUGGAGGGUCAUUGGAAACUGGAAAACUUGAGUGCGGAAGAGGAAAGUGGAAUUCCAUGUGUAGCGGUGAAAUGCGCAGAGAUAUGGAGGAACACCAGUGGCGAAGGCGACUUUCUGGUCUGUAACUGACGCUGAUGUGCGAAAGCGUGGGGAUCAAACAGGAUUAGAUACCCUGGUAGUCCACGCCGUAAACGAUGAGUGCUAAGUGUUAGGGGGUUUCCGCCCCUUAGUGCUGCAGCUAACGCAUUAAGCACUCCGCCUGGGGAGUACGACCGCAAGGUUGAAACUCAAAGGAAUUGACGGGGACCCGCACAAGCGGUGGAGCAUGUGGUUUAAUUCGAAGCAACGCGAAGAACCUUACCAAAUCUUGACAUCCUUUGACAACUCUAGAGAUAGAGCCUUCCCCUUCGGGGGACAAAGUGACAGGUGGUGCAUGGUUGUCGUCAGCUCGUGUCGUGAGAUGUUGGGUUAAGUCCCGCAACGAGCGCAACCCUUAAGCUUAGUUGCCAUCAUUAAGUUGGGCACUCUAAGUUGACUGCCGGUGACAAACCGGAGGAAGGUGGGGAUGACGUCAAAUCAUCAUGCCCCUUAUGAUUUGGGCUACACACGUGCUACAAUGGACAAUACAAAGGGCAGCGAAACCGCGAGGUCAAGCAAAUCCCAUAAAGUUGUUCUCAGUUCGGAUUGUAGUCUGCAACUCGACUACAUGAAGCUGGAAUCGCUAGUAAUCGUAGAUCAGCAUGCUACGGUGAAUACGUUCCCGGGUCU